GGGGGGGGCAAGCGUUGUUCGGAAUUACUGGGCGUAAAGGGCGCGUAGGCGGCCUGCUAAGUCACACGUGAAAUCCCUCGGCUCAACCGGGGAACUGCGUGUGAUACUGGCGGGCUUGAAUUCGGGAGAGGGAUGUGGAAUUCCAGGUGUAGCGGUGAAAUGCGUAGAUAUCUGGAGGAACACCGGUGGCGAAGGCGGCAUCCUGGACCGAGAUUGACGCUGAGGCGCGAAAGCUAGGGUAGCAAACGGGAUUAGAUACCCCGGUAGUCCUAGCCCUAAACGAUGAGUGCUUGGUGUGGCGGGUAUCGAUCCCUGCCGUGCCGAAGCUAACGCAUUAAGCACUCCGCCUGGGGAGUACGGUCGCAAGGCUG
rnacentral:rRNA from 1 species